UCGUCACACUAUCAUUAACUGAAUCCAUAGGUUAAUGAGGCGAACCGGGGGAACUGAAACAUCUAAGUACCCCGAGGAAAAGAAAUCAACCGAGAUUCCCCCAGUAGCGGCGAGCGAACGGGGAGGAGCCCAGAGCCUGAAUCAGCAUGUGUGUUAGUGGAAGCGUCUGGAAAGGCGCGCGAUACAGGGUGACAGCCCCGUACACAAAAGCGCAUGUGCUGUGAGCUCGAUGAGUAGGGCGGGACACGUGGUAUCCUGUCUGAAUAUGGGGGGACCAUCCUCCAAGGCUAAAUACUCCUGACUGACCGAUAGUGAACCAGUACCGUGAGGGAAAGGCGAAAAGAACCCCGGCGAGGGGAGUGAAAAAGAACCUGAAACCGUGUACGUACAAGCAGUGGGAG
rnacentral:rRNA from 1 species